rnacentral:rRNA from 1 species
CCUACGGGAGGCAGCAGUAAGGAAUAUUGGUCAAUGGACGCAAGUCUGAACCAGCCAUGCCGCGUGCAGGAUGACGGCCCUCUGGGUUGUAAACUGCUUUUAUACGGGAAGAAACCUCUGGUUGCGAUCAGAGCUGACGGUACCGUAAGAAUAAGGACCGGCUAACUUCGUGCCAGCAGCCGCGGUAAUACGAAGGGUCCAAGCGUUAUCCGGAUUUAUUGGGUUUAAAGGGUGCGUAGGCGGCUUAUUAAGUCAGUGGUGAAAGACUUCAGCUUAACUGAAGAACUGCCAUUGAUACUGAUGAGCUUGAAUAUACUUGAGGUGGGCGGAAUGUGUCAUGUAGCGGUGAAAUGCUUAGAUAUGACACAGAACACCGAUUGCGAAGGCAGCUCGCUAAAGUAUGAUUGACGCUGAUGCACGAAAGCGUGGGGAGCAAACAGGAUUAGAUACCCUGGUAGUCCACGCCCUAAACGUUGAUAACUCGAUGUGUGCGAUAUACAGUACGCGUCCAAGCGAAAGCAUUAAGUUAUCCACCUGGGAAGUACGGUCGCAAGAUUGAAACUCAAAUGAAAUUGACGGCGNGAGACGNGCGACGGACGACGACGAGGGAGGUUAGG